rnacentral:rRNA from 1 species
CCUACGUGAGGCAGCAGUGAGGAAUAUUGGUCAAUGGGCGAGAGCCUGAACCAGCCAAGUCGCGUGAAGGAUGACGGCCCUACGGGUUGUAAACUUCUUUUGUCAGGGAGCAAUUGGGUCCACGCGUGGGCUUAGCGAGAGUACCUGAAGAAAAAGCAUCGGCUAACUCCGUGCCAGCAGCCGCGGUAAUACGGAGGAUGCGAGCGUUAUCCGGAUUUAUGGGGUUUACAGGGUGCGUAGGCGGAAUAUCAAGUCAGCGGUAAAAAUUCGGGGCUCAACCCCGUGGUGCCGUUGAAACUGAUGUUCUGGAGUGGGAGAGAAGUAUGCGGAAGGCGUGGUGUAGCGGUGAAAUGCAUAGAUAUCACGCAGAACUCCGAUUGCGAAGGCAGCAUGCCGGCUCCACACUGACGCUGAGGCACGAAAGCGUGGGUAUCGAACAGGAUUAGAUACCCGUGUAGUC